rnacentral:rRNA from 1 species
UGGGAAUCUGCCUUCUAGGUGGGGGAUACGCCCGGAAGAAAGUCCGGAUUAAUACCGCAUACGCCCGUACGGGGGAAAGCCGGGGAUCUUCGGACCUGGCGCUAGUAGAUGAGCCCGCGUGAGAUUAGCUUGUUGGUGGGGUAAUGGCCUACCAAGGCAACGAUCUCUAGCUGGUCUGAGAGGACGAUCAGCCACACUGGGACUGAGACACGGCCCAGACUCCUACGGGAGGCAGCAGUGGGGAAUAUUGGACAAUGGGCGAAAGCCUGAUCCAGCAAUGCCGCGUGUGUGAAGAAGGCCUGAGGGUUGUAAAGCACUUUCAAUCGUGAAGAAAAGUUGCAGGCUAAUACCCUGUGACCUUGACGUUAACGAUACAAGAAGCACCGGCUAACUCCGUG